rnacentral:rRNA from 2 species
AAAUUGAAGAGUUUGAUCAUGGCUCAGAUUGAACGCUGGCGGCAGGCCUAACACAUGCAAGUCGAACGGUAACAGGAAGAAGCUUGCUUCUUUGCUGACGAGUGGCGGACGGGUGAGUAAUGUCUGGGAAACUGCCUGAUGGAGGGGGAUAACUACUGGAAACGGUAGCUAAUACCGCAUAACGUCGCAAGACCAAAGAGGGGGACCUUCGGGCCUCUUGCCA